GAGUAGAGAAGGACGAUCACCUCCCUACCCUGCUGACUCAACCCUCUCCCUGAUGGAGCCCAGGAUCCCAUUUGCUUUCCGGGCUGCCAGAGCGCACUGCUGGCUCAUGUUGAGUCCACUGCGGGCAUUGAGCACCCUGAGGCCUCCGGCCUUGAGGCUGUGUGGGAUGGGGUAGGUGUGCUACAGAAAUAGUGUUAUUUCUGUAGUGAGAAGUGAACCACCCCCCUCUGCACACCCAAAUCUUCGCACUUGGGACCACCAGUCACUAAGUGGGACGUGUUGCAUUGAAGGCAGUUCUGUAAGGUCUUGACAGCGCUGCUGUGAUGUGGGUGAGGAUGACAGAGAUAUGAAGAGAGGUUUCCAAGGCAGAGCCCACAUCCAGUUCCAUUUUCUUCACAGACUCACUGCGCUCAUUACCUGUACAGGGAAAAGAAACGUGAUCCUUUGUGACUCAGUCCAAACUCUGAAGGGAUUCUGUCCUUCCCUGUUAUGAGUACUGGGAACUGACUGUGGAGCUCAGAAAGGAAACAACUCCCUUUUUCUUUAACUGUUUCAGUUGCAAAGCGGCCUUUGGUGAGAAAAAUCAGCCCUGCCAUGACUGGGAGAGGGUCUGGUCCAAAGGGAAUCAUAUGGAGAACACCAGAGUCAGGAGUGCUGAGAUCUGCAGCGACAGAUGCACACUCACCCAUAGCAGCAGAGCUGCCUCCUGGAUGUUCUCUUACCUCGCCUCUGGUGUCUGAAUCUACAGCCGUGUCUCUUCUUUGCUGCCCUUAUCAGACUUAUCAGACCAUGAAGACCAAUUACUGGUUUUAGUCAUUUAAUUGUUUUAUGAGAUUUGGGCCACUCAGCUACUCUUGGGACAGAUCACUGUACACAUUCACGGUGACUUUCAAAUACAGGUGAGCGCAGCAUAACUUUGUUCACCUCUGGGAUCACUCCAAGACUCCGAGUGACAAUAGACGAUAGAGGAGGUACUAGAAAAUUAUCACUGGCGUAAAUCAUUCCCAUGAAGAUGAUGUGCAGGGAUUGCUAAAUGCGGAUUGUCCCCUGCUGGAGAUGAUUUACCUUUUCUGCAAUGUGCUGAGAUCUUGCAAUGAGAAGGACUAGUGGUGUGACAACAUUAUAGGAAUUCUAAUGGUAAAGACUCAGGACAAGUAGUGGUAACUUUCUAAGCAUGUCUUGUAUAACAAGGGUAGUGCUGAGAGAAGGAGUGGACUGAAAAUUAGAAGUAAAAGCUUUUUAUGCAGAUCCUGUAGUACUUUAAUAAAUAGAUGUGUUCUUUAAGGGUUAUUUUGCUG
rnacentral:lncRNA from 1 species